CUUGAACGCUGGUGGCAGGCCUAACACAUGCAAGUCGAGCGUGCGGCGGUCGGGCGAGUAAUGUAUGUGGUCUGCCCGACACCGGGGGGUAACAACUGGACAUGCUAGCUAAUACCGCAUACUAUGGGAAAACCUAUAUUGGAUUAGCUAGUAGGUGAGGUAAUGGCUCACCUAGGCGACGAUCCCUAGCUGGUCUGAGAGGAUGAUCAGCCACACUGGGACUUAUACGCGGCCCGGGCUCCUACGGAGGCAGCAGUGGGGAAUAGUGCACAGUGGGGGCGAGCCUGAGGCAGCCGUGCCGCGUAUAUGAAGGAGGCCCUAGGGUUGAAGAGUGCUGUAAGUAGGGAGACGUUACCGGCAGAAGAAGGACAGGAUAGCUCCGUGCUAGCAGCCGCGGUAAUUC
rnacentral:rRNA from 1 species